rfam:Myotis brandtii contig232873, whole genome shotgun sequence.
GAUGGUUCUCAGGUGAUGCACCCCAGAAUCGGCUCCCUCCUCUCUGGUUCCGGGGUGUGUCACCCAAGAACCACG